rnacentral:rRNA from 1 species
CACGUAGGGUGCGAGCGUUGUCCGGAAUUAUUGGGCGUAAAGAGCUCGUAGGCGGUGUGUCGCGUCGGCCGUGAAAACCUGCAGCUUAACUGUGGGCGUGCGGUCGAUACGGGCAUCACUGGAGUUCGGCAGGGGAGACUGGAAUUCCUGGUGUAGCGGUGAAAUGCGCAGAUAUCAGGAGGAACACCCGUGGCGAAGGCGGCUCUCUGGGACGGUACUGACACUGAGACGCGAAAGCGUGGGGAGCGAACAGG